rnacentral:rRNA from 1 species
UGAGGAAUAUUGGGCAAUGCCCGCAAGGGUGACCCAGCAACGCCGCGUGGAGGAUGAAUGUCGUAAGAUUGUAAACUCCUGUUAGAGGGGAAGAAUAGUACCGGUUGGACCGGUAUAUGACUGUACCCUCAGAGAAAGCCCCGGCUAACUACGUGCCAGCAGCCGCGGUAAUACGUAGGGGGCAAGCGUUGUCCGGAUUUACUGGGUGUCAAGGGCGCGCAGGCGGGAUAAAAAGUCAGUGGUGAAAUCCUACAGCUUAACUGUAGAACUGCCUUUGAUACUUUCAUUCUUGAGUUCGGGAGAGAGAGACGGAAAUCCAGGUGGAGUGGUGAAAUACGUAGAUAUCUGGAAGAACACCAGUUGCGAAGGCGGUCUCUUGGUCCGAUACUGACGCUGAGGCGCGAAAGCGUG